GAUGAAGAACGUAGCGAAAUGCGAUAAGUAAUGCGAAUUGCAGAAUUUCCGUGAGUCAUCGAAUCUUUGAACGCACAUUGCGCCCAUUAGUAUUCUAGUGGGCAUGCCUGUUCGAGCGUCAUUAAGUCCACUUAAGCCCUGCUUAGUGUUGGGAGACUGCUCCAGCGGUGCUACCCUGUAGCUACCCUGCAGCUCCUCAAAGACAGCGGCGGAGUUGUGGUAUCCUCUGAGCUUAGUAACUUGUUCUAGCUUUCGAGUACACCACUUCCCCUGCCGUAAAACCCUUAAUUUUUAAUGGUUGACCUCGGAUCAGGUAGGAAUACCCGCUGAACUUAAGCAUAUCAAUAAGCGGAGGA
rnacentral:misc_RNA from 1 species